UACGUAGGGUGCGAGCGUUAAUCGGAAUUACUGGGCGUAAAGCGUGCGCAGGCGGUUUUGUAAGCCAGAUGUGAAAUCCCCGGGCUUAACCUGGGAAUGGCAUUUGGGACUGCAAGGCUGGAGUUUGGCAGAGGAGACUGGAAUUCCUGGUGUAGCAGUGAAAUGCGUAGAUAUCAGGAGGAAUACCGAUGGCGAAGGCAGGUCUCUGGGCUGACACUGACGCUCAUGCACGAAAGCGUGGGGAGCGAACAGG
rnacentral:rRNA from 1 species